UACGUAGGGUGCAAGCGUUGUCCGGAUUUAUUGGGCGUAAAGAGCUCGUAGGCGGUUAAGAAAGUCGGGGGUGAAAGCCUGUGGCUCAACCACAGAAUUGCCUUCGAUACUGUAGAGCUUGAGACCGGAAGAGGCGAGUGGAAUUCCCGGUGUAGCGGUGAAAUGCGCAGAUAUCGGGAGGAACACCUAUGGCGAAGGCAGCUCGCUGGGACGUUACUGACGCUGAGACGCGAAAGCGUGGGGAGCAAACAGG
rnacentral:rRNA from 1 species